ensembl:snoRNA
GCAUCCUCUUAAGGCUUACUCGGUGCUUGCAGAGGCUAACCCAGAAGGAUAAGGAGAGUCCUUAUAAAACCCAGGCAGGAGAUUUUACAAAGUACUCCUUGGAUGCUGUCUGGAGUCACAGCC